UCCUACGGGAGGCAGCAGUGGGGAAUAUUGCGCAAUGGGCGAAAGCCUGACGCAGCGACGCCGCGUGGGGGAUGAAGGCCUUCGGGUUGUAAACCCCUUUCAGCAGGGACGAAGCGAAAGUGACGGUACCUGCAGAAGAAGCCCCGGCUAACUACGUGCCAGCAGCCGCGGUAACACGUAGGGCGCAAGCGUUGUCCGGAAUUAUUGGGCGUAAAGAGCUCGUAGGCGGUCUGUUGCGUCCGCUGUGAAAACUCGGGGCUUAACCCCGAGCCUGCAGUGGAUACGGCCAGACUAGAGGUAGGUAGGGGAGAAUGGAAUUCCCGGUGUAGCGGUGAAAUGCGCAGAUAUCGGGAGGAACACCGGUGGCGAAGGCGGUUCUCUGGGCCUUACCUGACGCUGAGGAGCGAAAGCGUGGGGAGCGAACAGGAUUAGAUACCCUGGUAGUCCACGCCGUAAACGAUGGGCGCUAGGUGUGGGAUCCUUCCACGGAUUCCGUGCCGCAGCUAACGCAUUAAGCGCCC
rnacentral:rRNA from 1 species